GGUACCCGUAGCUUGCUCUCGGGUGACGAGCGGCGGACGGGUGAGUAAUGUCUGGGAAACUGCCUGAUGGAGGGGGAUAACUACUGGAAACGGUAGCUAAUACCGCAUAACGUCGCAAGACCAAAGUGGGGGACCUUCGGGCCUCAUGCCAUCAGAUGUGCCCAGAUGGGAUUAGCUGGUAGGUGGGGUAACGGCUCACCUAGGCGACGAUCCCUAGCUGGUCUGAGAGGAUGACCAGCCACACUGGAACUGAGACACGGUCCAGACUCCUACGGGAGGCAGCAGUGGGGAAUAUUGCACAAUGGGCGCAAGCCUGAUGCAGCCAUGCCGCGUGUGUGAAGAAGGCCUUCGGGUUGUAAAGCACUUUCAGCGGG
rnacentral:rRNA from 1 species